AGUACCGUGAGGGAAAGGUGAAAAGAACCCCGGGAGGGGAGUGAAAUAGAACCUGAAACCCUGCACUUACAAGCUGUGGACGCACAUUUCUUGUGUGACCGCGUACUUUUUGUAGAACGGGCCAACGCGUUACGUUAAGUAGCAAGGUUAAGCACUUAAGGUGUGGAGCCGUAGCGAAAGCGAGUUUUAACUGAGCGUUCAGUUACUU
rnacentral:rRNA from 1 species